rnacentral:rRNA from 1 species
AUUGAAAGCUGGCGGCAGGCCUAACACAUGCAAGUCGAACGAGUCGCAGACGGGUGAGUAAUGUCUGGGAAACUGCCUGAUGGAGGGGGAUAUCUACUGGAAACGGUAGCUAAUACCGCAUAACAUCAGAUGUGCCCAGAUGGGAUUAGCUAGUAGGUGGGGUAACGGCUCACCUAGGCGACGAUCCCUAGCUGGGCUGAGAGGAUGACCAGCCACACUGGAACUGAGACACGGUCCAGACUCCUACGGGAGGCAGCAGUGGGGAAUAUUGCACAAUGGGCGCAAGCCUGAUGCAGCCAUGCCGCGUGUAUGAAGAAGGCCUUCGGGUUGUAAAGUACUUUCAGCGGGGAGGCGUUACCCGCAGAAGAAGCACCGGCUAACUCCGUGCCAGCAGCCGCGGUAAUAC